AGCAGUAGUAGUAGUAGCAGUAGCAGUAGUAGCAGUAGUAGUAGUAGUAGUAGUAUAGUAGUAGUAUAGUAGUAGUAGUACUACUAUACUACUACUAUACUGCUGCUAUUGCUGCUGCUACUGCUGCUACUACUACUGCUACUGCUGCU
rnacentral:tRNA from 7 species